rnacentral:rRNA from 1 species
ACUGACUGCUAUCGGAUUGAUACUAAGCCAUGCGAGUCAUUGUAGUAAUACAAGGCAGACGGCUCAGUAACGCGUAGUCACCUAACCUAUGGACGGGAAUAACCUCGGGAAACUGAGUAUAAUGCCCGAUAGAACAUUAUGCCUGGAAUGGUUUAUGUUCCAAAUGAUUUAUCGCCGUAGGAUGGGACUGCGGCCUAUCAGUUUGUUGGUGAGGUAAUGGCCCACCAAGACUAUUACAGGUACGGGCUCUGAGAGGAGUAGCCCGGAGAUGGGUACUGAGACACGGACCCAGGCCCUAUGGGGCGCAGCAGGCGAGAAAACUUUGCAAUGUGCGAAAGCACGACAAGGUUAAUCCGAGUGGUUUCUGCUAAAGGAACCUUUUGUCGGUCCUAGAAACACCGAUGAAUAAGGGGUGGGCAAGUUCUGGUGUCAGCCGCCGCGGUAAAACCAGCACCUCAAGUGGUCAGGAUGAUUAUUGGGCCUAAAGCAUCCGUAGCCGGCUCUGUAAGUUUUCGGUUAAAUCUGUACGCUCAACGUACAGGCUGCCGGGAAUACUGCAGAGCUAGGGAGUGGGAGAGGUAGACGGUACUCGGUAGGAAGGGGGUAAAAAUCCUUUGAUCUAUUGAUGACCACCUGUGGCGAAGGCGGUCUACCAGAACACGUCCGACGGUGAGGGAUGAAAGCUGGGGGAGCAAACCGGAUUAGAUACCCGGGUAGUCCCAGCUGUAAACUAUGCAAACUCAGUGAUGCAUUGGCUUGUGGCUAAUGCAGUGCUGCAGGGAAGCCGUUAAGUUUGCCCCCUGGGAAGUACGUACGCAAGU